AACGAACGCUGGCGGCAGGCUUAACACAUGCAAGUCGAGCGCCCCGCAAGUGGAGCGGCAGACGGGUGAGUAACGCGUGGGAACGUACCCUUAUCUUCGGGAUAGCUCCGGGAAACUGGAAUUAAUACCGAAUGUGCCCUUUGAGGGGAAGAGUUAUCGGAUAAGGAUCGGCCCGCGUUGGAUUAGCGAGUUGGUGGGGUAAAGGCAUACCAAGGCGACGAUCCAUAGCUGGUCUGAGAGGAUGAUCAGCCACAUUGGGACUGAGACACGGCCCAAACUCCUACGGGAGGCAGCAGUGGAGAAUAUUGGAGAAUGGGCGCAAGCCUGAUCCAGCCAUGUCGCGUGAGUGAUGCAGGCGUUAGGGUUGUACAGCUCUUUCACAGGAGAAGAUAAUGACGGUAUCCGGAGAAGAAGCCCCGGCUAACUUCGUG
rnacentral:rRNA from 1 species